rnacentral:tRNA from 1 species
GUUCUCUUCGUCUAACGGUUAGGACAGCACUUUUUCAAGGUGUUGAUAUGAGUUCAAAUCUCAUAGAGAAUA